rnacentral:rRNA from 1 species
CUGAUCAGCCAUGCCGCGUGAGUGAAGAAGGCCUUCGGGUUGUAAAGCUCUUUCGGCCGGGAAGAAAUCGUGUGGGCUAAUACCCUGCGUGGAUGACGGUACCGGAAUAAGAAGCACCGGCUAACUACGUGCCAGCAGCCGCGGUAAUACGUAGGGUGCGAGCGUUAAUCGGAAUUACUGGGCGUAAAGCGUGCGCAGGCGGUUUAGUAAGACAGGCGUGAAAUCCCCGGGCUCAACCUGGGAACUGCGCUUGUGACUGCUAAGCUAGAGUACGGCAGAGGGGGGUGGAAUUCCACGUGUAGCAGUGAAAUGCGUAGAGAUGUGGAGGAACACCGAUGGCGAAGGCAGCCCCCUGGGCCGAUACUGACGCUCAUGCACGAAAGCGUGGGUAGCAAACAGGAUUAGAUACCCUGGUAGUCCACGCCCUAAACGAUGUCAACUAGGUGUUGGGUGGGUAAAACCAUUUAGUACCGUAGCUAACGCGUGAAGUUGACCGCCUGGGGAGUACGGCCGCAAGGUUAAAACUCAAAGGAAUUGACGG